CAGUCGCCGCGGGAAUACGGAGGGGGCUAGCGUUGUUCGGAUUUACUGGGCGUAAAGGGCGCGUAGGCGGAUUUGUAAGUCAGGGGUGAAAUCCCGAGGCUCAACCUCGGAACUGCCUUUGAUACUGUGGAUCUUGAGUCCGGGAGAGGUGAGUGGAACUGCGAGUGUAGAGGUGAAAUUCGUAGAUAUUCGCAAGAACACCAGUGGCGAAGGCGGCUCACUGGCCCGGAACUGACGCUGAGGCGCGAAAGCGUGGGGAGCAAACAGGAUUAGAUACCCCGGUAGUCCCUGUCUCUUAUAC
rnacentral:rRNA from 1 species